CGCAACCCCCCCUCCUUUUCAUUUUUUUUUUCUUUUCGUUUUCUCCUUCAUCUUGCCCGAGCCGCCGACCACCCCUCUCCCUCUCUUCUUCCCCGUUCACUCUAGCAGCCGCUGACCGUCCGCAGACGUUCCGCCAAAGCCGUCGCCGUGAUUCUGUUCCUCCGCCAAGGCCGUCGCCGCAAUUCUGGUCCCCGCAAACUGCCGUCUCCCCGUUGAAGCCGAACCCGACCGAACACCUAAACUCCAUCUGCAAGGCUGCCGACUGUUCAUACCGUCCGAUCUCUUCUCCUCGUUCCGUACCGCCGCGAGUCAUCCCAAACUUCUAUGACCCUCUGUCUCCGUUCGUCCCAGUUUGUGAAGUCGCCGGAUCGGUUCUACACAUUGUGUGAUUUUUUUGUUCGUACGCCGCUGCAACUUUUACCUUGUCGUGAGUUGCCAUAAUUGUUGUUGGUACUAAUUGAGGUUAGUGAGCGGAUCCUUGGUUUGUAAUAGGUUGAGUUGGAUUCGUCUCCCCAUUUGAGGAUUUGAUUGUUGGAAUUAGUUCGAUCAAGGAUCUUGCAUAAAAUCAAGGCAAAGGAAACAAGGGUGGCAGAUCGACGAGGGGCAAGAAGGAAACGUGAUCGCCAUAGGGGACAUUUUAAAUUCGCUUCCGCUUGAUGAUUUAUCUUUUUGUUUUGUUUCGUACUUGAGACUGUUUAGAAAAUUUGAGAUUUAACUGUAUUCAAAAACUGAAAAUUUAUAAGUUUUUCUUGAAAGUUUGGUUAUUUUAAAUCGGGCCCAAACAUAAAUUUUGUUUUGUUGAGACUUUAAAUUUAAUUGAAUUUCGUAUUUUGUGUAAACUCAAGUAUUUGUGUUAAACUAACGACUUCGAUUUAGUUAGAAAAGUUGGGUUGUUACAUAUAAUCUUGUUGUUAAGAUCUUUAUAGA